UACGUAGGGGGCGAGCGUUGUCCGGAAUCAUUGGGCGUAAAGAGCUCGUAGGCGGUUUGUCGCGUCGUUCGUGAAAUCUCCACGCUUAACGUGGAGCGUGCGGUCGAUACGGGCAGACUUGAGUUCGGUAGGGGAGACUGGAAUUCCUGGUGUAGCGGUGAAAUGCGCAGAUAUCAGGAGGAACACCGGUGGCGAAGGCGGGUCUCUGGGCCGAUACUGACGCUGAGGAGCGAAAGCGUGGGGAGCGAACAGG
rnacentral:rRNA from 1 species